ensembl:lncRNA
GCCCUCCAAAAUUUCCCAAAGCACCAUCAGCUGCCCAACACUUGGCAGUUGGAGCAAGGAAUUUGACAACUGGGAGCCCUCAACACUCUACAUGGUAGGAUCAAUGGAAAAUGGCAGAGUUCAGAAGUAGGUCCCCACUGUAUGUGAAUAACUCAUUUUUGGCAAAAUGCACUAAGUAUUUGCCAAGUGGCAUACCUUCAACACUCAGACAGCAGGUAGAAAAAGGACACAGAAAGUCUGCGAUAAACUGAUUAGGAACAAAACUUUUGGUUUGAAGAAUGAGCCUGACAGUGACCCUGGCUGGCCUCCAAGUCUGCAUAUGUUUGGCUGAAUAUGGCGACAGGAUAGAGGGAGCGCAUCAGCAUUUAUGCUAACAGUCCAUUUUUGGUUUUGUUGUUGGGAGACGAUUUGGUAAUAUGUAAAACAGUGUGCUGUCACUCAAGUUAUCUCUUUUGUCCUCUCUCAAAAAUCUCCAUUUCUUCUCCAAAGCAUCUCAAAGCCCAUUAGACCAAUUUCAAACUUUUCAUUUGAGGAAUUAAUUCUACACAGCUCUUAGUCCCUAAUAUAUUUCCCCACUCACAUAUCUUUUCUCAUUUGAUUGUCUUUUUGAUCUGUGAAACAGAAUCUCUUGGUUAAUUUAGUUUAUUGUUACAUUAGACUUUUCUACCUGUAAGAGAAUGAGUCCUUACAAUAUACCUUGUUGAUAUUAUUGACUUGUGAAUAUGUAAUGGGUGAGCAGCUCUAAGGCUUCUGAAUUAAUCCAAUUGUUUAUCUAUAAAAACACCUGCAGCCAGAGAGUAAGAUAACAAAAUCACUGAAGAAAUCAAAACAUGAGAGUUGAAUCACAAAAAUCACAUUUUAUUUUGAUGAUCUUCUAUUGUAGGUAUCUACCUCAGCACAUCAAUAAAAAGAUAAUUUUGUAUAGUAAAACAAAUGAGCUCUUUAUAAGCAUAUAAAAACCAAUGACAUUAAAAGCUGCAUUAAUGCUUAGUAGACUAAAACCAAAUAAUCCAGUACAAU